rnacentral:lncRNA from 1 species
GCUUGCUUCGCCGACAUCAGCGUUCUCUCCCCGCAAUGUACCACAUGAGAAAGAAGCUUUUGCUGCUGCUGCUCUUGCAAAGGCGGCGGGAGCGCAGAAAGCGUCUGCGGCCUCUGCGGCGACGUUGGUGGGUCCGGCCAGUCUUUCAACUGCGUAAAGAAGAAGGACUUUACGGCUAUGCAACGGAUACGUCAGGAUGACCACGGAUUUUUCUACAAUUUCUUUCGCAAGGCGCCGCAGCUCUUGGGCAAGCUAGUGAGCUUUUUAGCAGAGGACCUCACACGGCAGCACCACAUUCGAGAAACCCCUGGAGCCUGGAGAACGACUUGCUGUAGCAUUGAGCAAUGCUUCCUAACGUAUCCAGCCUACGACUGCCUGCUGAAGCCAGCGAUGCUUCUGACUGCGGACUGCUGUGGUGUGCCUCAGAAUCCUCAGGAACCAGAACUUCUUGAAACAUCGCUGAUUCAAGAGAUU